AGCCCUGAGGUGAUGUGUCAUGUUGAAUUGCAAAUUCAAAGGAGCAGCUUCAACCCUGCCGGGGCUU
rnacentral:tRNA from 1 species